rnacentral:lncRNA from 1 species
AUAAGCUCAGCUGAAGCUUUGUAGUACCUGAGGAAGGCAAGAAAGGAUAUAAAGAAAAUAAGAAACAACACUUUCUCUGCACAUCCAAAUUGUGGCAAGGAUUUUUGCAGAUUGCCACCAGUUCACUGAGAGGAGUCAUUGAAAACAUGGCAUUGAGGACAGAGACUGCCACUUCAGAAUUUUCUACAUCCAACUGCUGAAGCCACUCGAAGAUAUUUCCCUCAGAGAACCAUAACCAGCUUUGGAGAAGAUGCUUCCACAUAGCUUGUUUCACAGCAUCUCAUCUCUCAUUAAAACCUUGUUGAGGGAGCAUUACUGUCUGAGCAAUGGACAUAGCUCUCAUACGAACCUUUUCAGCUAACACCGGAUAAGCCAGCUUUCUGACAGCCUCUUUCACAUCCUUGGUGCACCCUACAAUUUUUGGCAAAGUCUUUGCUGAUGGUGCAAUACAUGAUAACACUGCCUGUCUAAGUUCUGGAUUCAAAUCAAUCAUUUUCGAUCAAAGUAGCAUAUGCAUUAACCACUGGGCAUUCAUCAUCCUUUGGAUCCUGAAGUCGUGAAAGCGCCAGAACUGCCUGUAUUCUCACAUUUGGAAUCUUAUCUUUCAGUCUAAUAAGCAUGGCUUCAUUAAUUUUGUCAAACACACCAUCAUCAAUCUGAGCUUCUUCUGGCAUACUUCUCAAAAGCUUGUUUAUGCAGCUCCUGGUUCUUGAACUAACGUAGGCAUCAGCACAGCUGAUUCUCAUUCAGGAGAAGACAGUGCUGUGCCCAGGGGCCCCUGAGCCAUUGCCCAGCUUUCCAGCUUUCCAGGAAGUCUGCACUGGAGAAGCAUUCAACCUCCUCUGAGCUAACAUUUUCAUGUGCACACGUGAUUAUGAGUGUGAUACAGACAUUAUUUUACUUGUGUAACUAAUUUUUAAAUCAG